rnacentral:rRNA from 2 species
UUGCACCGGGUGGCGAGCGGCGGACGGGUGAGUAAUGCCUAGGAAUCUGCCUGGUAGUGGGGGAUAACGCUCGGAAACGGACGCUAAUACCGCAUACGUCCUACGGGAGAAAGCAGGGGACCUUCGGGCCUUGCGCUAUCAGAUGAGCCUAGGUCGGAUUAGCUAGUUGGUGAGGUAAUGGCUCACCAAGGCGACGAUCCGUAACUGGUCUGAGAGGAUGAUCAGUCACACUGGAACUGAGACACGGUCCAGACUCCUACGGGAGGCAGCAGUGGGGAAUAUUGGACAAUGGGCGAAAGCCUGAUCCAGCCAUGCCGCGUGUGUGAAGAAGGUCUUCGGAUUGUAAAGCACUUUAAGUUGGGAGGAAGGGUCGUUGCCUAAUACGUGACGAUUUUGACGUUACCGACAGAAUAAGCACCGGCUAACUCUGUGCCAGCAGCCGCGGUAAUACAGAGGGUGCAAGCGUUAAUCGGAAUUACUGGGCGUAAAGCGCGCGUAGGUGGUUCGUUAAGUUGAAUGUGAAAUCCCCGGGCUCAACCUGGGAACUGCAUCCAAAACUGGCGAGCUAGAGUAUGGUAGAGGGUGGUGGAAUUUCCUGUGUAGCGGUGAAAUGCGUAGAU